AACUUAUUAUUAAAUUAAAAAAAAAAAUUACGACAAAAAAAAAUUCAACUGCUCGCUUUUUUCCACGAUCUAUAUUCCCCACUUCAUCACCUUUCCUCUUCAACAAUUGGAAAAAAACAUUAUUUCUUCCGCCUCUUACUUUGCCUCCCCUCUUCCCAUCAUUUCCUUCUUGGAUUCUAAUUCAUCUAUAGGGUUCAUAUUCCAAAUUCCAAUCUCCAAUUAUGCCGCUCAAUAUUACACCUAUCUCUCAAAUAACUCCAGUAAUUAAUCUUUGUAAAAUCAAGGUGAUAAGUGUUUGUCUUUGGGGAUUUCCACAAAAAGAUAAACCAGAGGAAUUCACAGGAAUGAAUUUUCUUCUUGUGGAUGAUAAGGUACAAUUUUGUGGGUCUUUCUAAAGUCUCAUUAAAAUCUGUGAUUUCAUGAUCUAUGUUAAGAUUUACUUAGAAGAAGGAUAAGUGAUGAGACUGAUAUAGAGCUCUGUUGUGCUAUUACAUUAUAGUUCUUACCAUCUCUAAA